rnacentral:precursor_RNA from 15 species
GGAUUUUCCACGAUCGGCGUGUCUAUGGCAAGUAGAAUAGCAGGCUUAUCACAUGUUUAAUUCAAUCUGCUGUGAGAUUCUUCUAUUCUACUUUCGACAACACCCGUUAACAUCACACCCGACC